rnacentral:rRNA from 1 species
GGCCAAACGUCCGUCAGGGGUGAGCAGAUGUGCGCCGGCCGUACCGCCCCAUUCUUGUCUACCUUACUCGGUUGCCUCGGCGGGCCGCGCUCUCUCAGGAGAGCCGUUCGGCGAGCCUCUCUUUAGUGGCUCAACGCUGGACCGCGCCCGCCGGAGGACAGACGCAAAAAAAUUCUUUCAGAAGAGCUGUCAGUCUGAGCGUUAGCAAGCAAAAAUCAGUUAAAACUUUCAACAACGGAUCUCUUGGUUCCGGCAUCGAUGAAGAACGCAGCGAAAUGCGAUAAGUAAUGUGAAUUGCAGAAUUCCGUGAAUCAUCGAAUCUUUGAACGCACAUUGCGCCCCCUGGCAUUCCGGGGGGCAUGCCUGUUCGAGCGUCAUUUCAGCCCCUCAAGCCCGGCUUGUGUGAUGGACGACCGUCCGGCGCCCCCGUCUUUGGAGGUGCGGGACGCGCCCGAAAAGCAGUGGCCAGGCCGCGAUUCCGGCUUCCUAGGCGAAUGGGCAACAAACCAGCGCCUCCAGGACCGGCCGCCCUGGCCUCAAAAUCUGUUUUAUACUUAUCAGGUUGACCUCGGAUCAGGUAGGGAUACCCGCUG